rnacentral:misc_RNA from 1 species
AAGUCGUAACAAGGUUUCCGUAGGUGAACCUGCGGAAGGAUCAUUAACACGUAUCCAAACGUUAAACCCCCCUGUGAACCUUCAGUGUACUCGUACGUCCGUUAGAAAAAGCAGCAAUCCCUGGUAAAUCAUCGCCGAACAGUUUUCGAUUCAGGGACGUCUGCAAGGAGCGUGCAUGUUGUGCGAAGCAAGUGGCCUGGCAUCCCCAAGCAGUUAGUGUCUGAAAGUGCGCAGUCACGAUCGUUGGAGGCCCACACGGCCGACGACCGGGUCACUGGGCGCAAGCCCCCCUAUAACAAACGCUGCCAAUCGCGGCCGCGAUAAUACGCAGUUACAACUGUUAACAAUGGAUAUCUUGGUUCUC